rnacentral:rRNA from 1 species
AAUAUUGGUCAAUGGAGGCAACCCUGAUCCAGCCAUCCCGCGUGUGCGAUGAAGGCCUUCGGGUUGUAAAGCACUUUUGUCAGGGAAGAAAUCGUACAGGCUAAUAUCCUGUUCGGAUGACGGUACCUGAAGAAUAAGCACCGGCUAACUACGUGCCAGCAGCCGCGGUAAUACGUAGGGUGCAAGAGUUAAUCGGAAUUACUGGGCGUAAAGGGUGCGCAGGCGGUUUAUCAAGAAAGGUGUGAAAUCCCCGGGCUUAACCUGGGAAUGGCACUUUUAACUGAUAGGCUAGAGUAUGUCAGAGGGGGGUAGAAUUCCACGUGUAGCAGUGAAAUGCGUAGAUAUGUGGAGGAAUACCGAUGGCGAAGGCAGCCCCCUGGGAUAAUACUGACGCUCAGACACGAAAGCGUGGGGAGCAAACAG